CAGUCCUUCACUUGCGGAUCGUUCGCGAGUCGAACUCGCUCUCUUGCCACGCCUUUGACUCACGAACUCGAGUCGGACUCAUUCACUGCUGACUUCUUUGAGGAUCUUUCAUUCUUCACUCUCUUGCUAUUACCCACAGGGAGCGUGACCUUCGAACCGCUCUUGCCCUACCCUUUCACUUUCUUUCCUAAAUGUGUGACUGAUACCAAUCCCUAUGUUGUACACUCUUCCACUAAUUAG
rnacentral:rRNA from 1 species